rnacentral:lncRNA from 1 species
GGCUGUCAAAAUGAGAGACAUGCAAAAACACAGAUAUGGAGAGAAGCUGUCAAAAUGAGAGACAUGCAGACACACAGACAUGGAGAGAAGCUGUCAAAAUGAGAGACAUGCAAAAACACAGACAUGGAGAGAAGCUGUCAAAAAGAGAGACAAGCAGACAAAGACAAGCAAACACAAACAGAGAGAAAUAGAGAGACAGACGAUUGAGGCAGACUGACUGACAGUGAGAGAGACUAGUCUGGAAGACAGAACAAAAAAGGAAGUGACGUGGCCCACGUGUGAGAGCCAGCAAACAGAGAGAGAAAGAGUGGGUGAGAGAAAAAAAAGUGUAGUGCGCAAGAUAUGGAACAAGGAGGUCAUGAGCAGAAGGGUAUGGUCGACUAACGGUUCUUAAUGGUUCCUGACUGACACACAGAGGAAAGAGACCGUGGAUGCUGCUCUGGAACGAGCUCUGGAACUACGCGACAGCUCAGGAUGGACACCAAGAUUCAGCUGAGCUGGAUAGCAAUAUGUCUGUUUCUCACACUACCAGGGUCCCUUUCUCAGAGCCCUACCACCACACACCCCAAUCGACCGGUGGAAGUGACUCUUUGUCAUUUCUAGGUGAUGUCACAUGGGGCUAUUUCCUAUUUCUCUGUAUCUUUCCACCUGACACAACUCGCCGUUAAUCU